rnacentral:lncRNA from 1 species
CGCCUCCCGGGUUCAAGCGAUUCUCUUGCCUCAGCCUCCCGAGCAGCUGGGACUACAGGUGUGUGCCACCACACCGGGCUAAUUUUCUUUUCUUUUCUUUUUAUUUUUUGAGACGGAGUUUCGCUCUGUCGCCCAGGCUGGAGUGCAGUGGCGUGAUCUCAGCUCACUGCAAGCUCCGCCUCUCGGGUUCAGGCCAUUCUCCUGCCUCAGCCUCCUGAGUAGCUGGGACCACAGGCGCCCGCCACCACGCCCAGCUAAUUUUUUUUUUUUUUGUAUUUUUUGGUAGAGAUGGGGUUUCACCCUGUUAGCCAGGAUGGUCUCGAUCUCCUGACCUCAUGAUCCGCCCGCCUCAGCCUCCCAAAGUGCUGGGAUAACAGGCGUGAACCACCACGCCCAGCCACGCCCAGCUAGUUUUCUGUAUUUUAGUAGAGAUGGGAUUUCACCAUGUUGCCCAGGCUGGUCUCGAACUCCUGGGUCCAGGCAGUGUGCCCACCUUGGCCUCCCAAAGUACUGAGAUUACAGGCAUGAGCCACCGGGCCUGGCCCCGCGGUGUGCCUUUGACCUCCUCACGGGAGGAAAAAGCAGGAUGAAGCGGGGAUCAUGUCUGUCGGUCCUCAGCAGGAGCGUCUGCCAACGUCUCCACGUUGUGGACCUGAGAUUGUUCUCCGGAAGCUGCGGUCGGAGCAUCGCCAGGCCCAGCCCUGGGUCCUCCACCCGGGCCACUGCCCCUCAGGCGGCCUCUCCCUGCCCCCGCCCCUCUGGGGCCCCACAGGGCGGCCAGUGCAGACCUGGGUGUGCAACGGCCUCAUCGGCGUUUGUUUCAUGAACAAAUAAAUGUCUAAAUUCAGGACCCA